rnacentral:rRNA from 1 species
AUACAGAGGGUGCAAGCGUUAAUCGGAAUUACUGGGCGUAAAGCGCGCGUAGGCGGCUUGGUCAGUCGGAUGUAAAAGCCCCGGGCUCAACCUGGGAACUGCAUUCGAUACUGCUAGGCUAGAGUAUGGUAGAGGGUAGUAGAAUUCCUGGUGUAGCGGUGAAAUGCGUAGAUAUCAGGAGGAAUACCAGUGGCGAAGGCGGCUACCUGGACCAAUACUGACGCUGAGGUGCGAAAGCGUGGGGAGCAAACAGGAUUAGAUACCCUAGUAGUCC